GAACGCAUCUUGCGCUCCUUGGUAUUCUGAGGAGCAUGCCUGUUUGAGUGUCAUUAUCACCCCUCAAGCCCCCUGGCUUGGUGUUGGACGGUUGGCGAUGACCUCCGGGUCGUCGCCCCUCCCAAAGACAAUGACGGCGGCCUCGUUGGACCCCCGGUACAUUGAGUUCUUCACGGGACACGUACUGGAUCAAGGGUGCGCGGAGCACGGUCUUAACCAUUUCACCCCCCGUGGGCGGAAUAAUUUUUCUAGGUUGACCUCGGAUCAGGUAGGGAUACCCGCUGAACUUAAG
rnacentral:misc_RNA from 1 species